rnacentral:rRNA from 1 species
CGCCAGACUCCUACGGGAGGCAGCAGUGGGGAAUAUUGCACAAUGGGGGAAACCCUGAUGCAGCGACGCCGCGUGAGCGAUGAAGUAUUUCGGUAUGUAAAGCUCUAUCAGCAGGGAAGAAAAUGACGGUACCUGACUAAGAAGCCCCGGCUAACUACGUGCCAGCAGCCGCGGUAAUACGUAGGGGGCAAGCGUUAUCCGGAUUUACUGGGUGUAAAGGGGGCGCAGACGGCGAUGCAAGCCAGGAGUGAAAGCCCGGGGCCCAACCCCGGGACUGCUCUUGGAACUGCGUGGCUGGAGUGCAGGAGGGGCAGGCGGAAUUCCUGGUGUAGCGGUGAAAUGCGUAGAUAUCAGGAGGAACACCGGUGGCGAAGGCGGCCUGCUGGACUGCAACUGACGUUGAGGCCCGAAAGCGUGGGGAGCAAACAGGAUUAGAUACCCCCGUA